rnacentral:rRNA from 1 species
UACCAGCACCCCGAGUGAUCGGGACGUUUAUUGGGCCUAAGGCAUCCGUAGCCGGUUCUACAAGUCUUCCGUUAAAUCCAGCUGCUUAACAGAUGGGCUGCGGAAGAUACUAUGGAGCUAGGAGGCGGGAGAGGCAAGCGGUACUCGAUGGGUAGGGGUAAAAUCCGUUGAUCCAUUGAAGACCACCAGUGGCGAAGGCGGCUUGCCAGAACGCGCUCGGACGGUGAGGGAUGAAAGCUGGGGGAGCAAACCGG